rnacentral:rRNA from 1 species
GAAUAUUGGACAAUGGGGGCAACCCUGAUCCAGCAAUGCCGCGUGGGUGAAGAAGGCCUGCGGGUUGUAAAGCCCUUUCGGUUGGGAAGAACGUGCUUGAGGCUAAUACCCUUGAGCGGUGACAGUACCGACAGAAGAAGCACCGGCUAACUCCGUGCCAGCAGCCGCGGUAAUACGGAGGGUGCAAGCGUUAAUCGGAAUUACUGGGCGUAAAGCGCACGUAGGUGGUUUGUUAAGUCGGAUGUGAAAUCCCCGGGCUCAACCUGGGAAUGGCAUUCGAGACUGGCAAGCUAGAGUCUGGUAGAGGGUGGUGGAAUUCCAGGUGUAGCGGUGAAAUGCGUAGAUAUCUGGAGGAACAUCAGUGGCGAAGGCGGCCACCUGGACCAAGACUGACACUGAGGUGCGAAAGCGUGGGUAGCAAACAG